rnacentral:lncRNA from 1 species
GGCAUUACAUUUUAGGGUUUAGGGUUUGGGGUUUCGGGUUUAGGGUUUAGAGUUUUAGGGUUUGGGGUUUAGGGUUUUUUAGGGUUUAGGGUUUUAGGGUUUAGGGUUUGGGGUUUAGGGUUUUAGGGUUUAGGUUUUAGGGCUUAGGGCUUAGGGCUUUAGGGCUUAGGGGUUUAGGGUUUAGGGUUUAGGGUUUAGGGUUUAGGGUUUANAUGCAAUUGAUGUGAUGCAUAUUUUAUAUGAAAUUAUCUGUUACCAAAAUAAUAUGUGUGAUACUUAUUAGAAAAGACAUAAUAUUUUUGUUUCCUUUUUUUUUUUUUUUUAGAGUGAGAACGGUAGCAAAUAACCUCUCUUCGCUCAAUUUUAUUUUUUUUACUUUAGAAAUAAAAACAAUUAGAAAUGUAAAGCAAUAAAGUUUUGACCUUAAAAUCUCUGAGUAUUCAAUAAUAAAAAAAAAUCCUUAGCCAGAAAUGCUAGGGUUUAGAGUUUAGGUUUUAGGGUUAGGGUUUUGAAUUUUUAGGGUUUAGAAUUUAGAAUUUGGGCCCGGAAGUGGUCGGCGAAUCGGAGCUAGACUUGAUCUCGUCCAUUAAUAAAAAGUGUACUUAGUAAAACGUGCUGGACCAUUUAGUUAACACCGGUUCUCCUUCCAUCUCACAAUCACCCCCCCCUGACAAUUUUUUAAAUAGACCAUUUAUUAUUAUUAUUUUUUUUCAGUGAGACCUCUGUACUUUUUUUUUUUAAAGGAAUCAAUGUUGAGGGAGUGUAAUACACUAUUAAAUACAAAGGAUACUAUACAACGUACUAUGAUAUACAAAGUACAUUGAAAAUGGCCCCCCGGAACGGCCCACACAUAGAGGGACCUGGGCAUUAAAAGUAUAUAUUUGGGCUUAAUAGGCCGAAUUUUAUUAAUGGAUCAGGUGACGCCCAGUACUGGUUAGCCUUUUUUCUGCUCUAGGUUAAAUUGCGGUCUCGUUAAUAGCCCACAAAUGGAAAGCUUCACUUGUGGAGCAUAAUAUUAUGCUGUAAGUUGCCUUCUUUUUUCUUUUUCUUUUUUUUGGUGAUAAGUUAUUCUUUGGUUAAGGGCCUUUUUCUUUUGAGCAAUGAAAAAUAGAUAAAUUUGGAGAAAUCACACAAAAUUAUUCCUUUUUAUUUGUCGUAAUCAAAAAUAAAAUAUAUGAAGAACACCCGCUGUUUGUUUUUUAAAAAUUUAUCUUCUUUUUCUUUUUAUCGACAUGUGUAUAUGGUUUAGGGUUUUUAGGGUUUUAGGGGUUUAGUUAUUCUGACUAGUUUUGUUAUUCUAUUUUUAACGAUUUUGAAUUGAUUUUUUUUUUAUUUUUUGUUUCAAUUUCAUCGUCAUGAUUUAAGGUUGCUGUUGUUCAUGUUUUGUUGUCCACAAUUGCUGCUUCCUUUUAAUUCAUAUGUGUGCAGAGAUCAUCAUGUUUGAAAAAAUUUUAUUCUUUUGAUUAAACUUUCCAUUCUUGCAAAUUUUUUUUGGUAACAUUUUGUAGAGCAAAACCAAAUAUUCGAGGUAUCCUUCCUUUAUAAGAUAAAAUUUUCUUUGUGUUUUUAACUCAAUUUUGUUUUCUUUUAUUAUUUAGUUAUUUUCUUUAACUCUUUAGCCUGGCUAGUUUUGUACUCUCUUAUAUGUUCUUUUUUUUUUCCGCCAAUGUUUCUUGUAUUAUUGUGUUUAAAUGCUAAACUCAAUGAUAACAUAUUUGUAUUUCAAUGUUCUAAUUUUUUAAAUGUUUCUCUGUAUGAUUGUAUGUUUUGUACUCUCUUUUCUCAAUACUUUGUUUAUGAAACCUUUAUAUGGGCCCAAACAACAUGAAAAUUUAAAUACGAUGCUGGCUCAAAAUCAGAUAACAGUCAUAUGGGCCUUUCUGAGCUCCAAAUAAGCCCAGUCCAUAUUUAACCCAAAUCUAAGCCCAGUCCAUACAGGCUCACGUAAGUUACAUAUGGGGCCGAGGAAGAACCCCAAGACUAAGCCCGAGUCACACCCAAUUAUGUGGACUUUACACAAUCCUAGAUCAUGCUUGGGGCCUUUAAAGGCCUUUCGGGCUUUGCGGACUUUAGGGCCUUCACGGGCUUACUUUUAUGAGUUUUAUUUGGUGUAAGGCCUUGGGGCUUGGGGGCCCUUUGAAAGGCCUUUCAGGCUUUGGGCUUUUAGGACUUUAGGGGCUUUAGAUUUCGGGCUUCAGGGUAUGGGCCGCGACUGUGUGUGAAAAGCCCGGCCUUCUUUCCUUAUUUGGUAAAGUCUGUUUUUGAUGUGUUUCGUUUUUUACCAAAAAGGGAAAGUUUGGGUUUUGGACCAUGCGUAAUCCGUUAUUACUCUUUUACCCCAUAUACACCCAUCAUAUGCUGGUCCCACACGUCGGUUUAACAGAAAUUUUUAUUUUUAUUUUUUUAUUUAAUUUUUGGUUUUGCAAAAAUAAAAAUGUGUAGUUGGUAAUAUAAGCAAAAAUGAACACAGCACAAAAUAUUGAUUUUUUAUGUAAUAGUAUAUAAACAAAUUUUUUUUCCUUUUUUUUACACAUCCCGGUUAAUGUUAAUUAUAUUUUCUGAUUAAUGCAAUUGACGUGAUGCAUAUUCUAUAUAAAAUUAUCUGUUAUCAAAAUAAUAUGUGUGAUACUUAUUAGAAAAGACAUAAUGUUUUUCUUUUUUUCCAUUUUUUCUAUUUUUUUGUUUUUUUUUUUUUGAGAGAGAUAGAACGAUAGUAAAUAAUCCCGCUACGUUCAUUUUUUUUAACUUUAGAAAUAAAAACAAUUAGAAAUUUAAAGCAAUAAAGUUUUGACCUUAAAAUCUCUUGAGUACCGAAUAAUAAAAGAAAAGUCCUUAGCCAGGAAUGCCAGGGUUCAGUGUUUAGGUUUUAGGGUUUUAGGGUUUUUAGGGUUUAGAGUUUUGUUUAGGGUUUAUGAUUUAGAGUUUAAUGGCAUAAUAUGGAAAUCUAAAAGUUUGAGCCAAUAUUUAAUUCACUGAUUUGCUGCUAAAUAGCACAUGCUCAAGUUUUAUUUUUAUAAUUGUCAGACAUUUAACUUUCAAAUUUGUUUUCAUUUAAGUAACUUCAGUAAAUUAAGUUGAGAGUUUUAUUAAAUUUAUUGAUAAUUUUAUCAAAUUUAAUAAUUAUAAUUAUUUUUUAGCAAAUUGAGAUUUUCUAAAGUUGGUAAACUGUGUAAAAAAUUAUGAAGAAAAUAGUCAAAUUCUCUCUUUCUCUCUCUCUAAUUAUGGCGAAAUUAUGAAGUUGAAAGAAGCUUUAUUUGCAGAUUGAAGAACUUCAAUUUUUAUAUUGGGGUUAUUUAUUAAUUUGGUGUGAGCAUGAGGACACUAAUGGACAGUAUUGAUUACGUUUUUUGAGAUGGAUUUUUUAGUAUAAUUUUUGAAUUUCUAUAGUGAAAAUAUGUAAAGUUUGCAUUAAUUUUUAUCACUAAUACUCGUUAGAUUUUCCUCCAUUGCAUUUUCUGUGUUUAUUUAACUUUCUUUCUCCUUAUUCUCUCAUUUUACUGAUCAUCGCUAAGCCACUCUUCUUUCUUUCUUUUUUUCCAUCUAUUUCUUUGUCUGUUCUACAAAAUGCUACAGAACUUGCUCUAUUCUGCGUUUUUCUUCCUUAAUUUUGAUAUAUAUUUGGGAACCACAAUUUGAACAUUUAUUGGGGGCAAAGCUAAUCAAACUGUAGAUAAAUGUCCAAGACGAAUCUAAAUUGAAUUAUACGGACAUUAUCUGACCCAAUUCCAGCCCAAUGGGAAAAAGAACCCAAAUAUGAGGUUAAGCAUUUAGGCUUCCCCAAAGUUAUAAAUGGGCCUGGGUGUAAGCAAGUCUAAAACCAAUUACAACUAAUGUUAUGGGCUUUGCGAUUCAGGUUUAGGGCCUUAAGGAGCAUACUUUUCUGAAUUUCAUUUUGUGUAGAGCCUUCGGGCUUGGGCGCUUGGGGCCUUUUAAAGGCCAUUCGGGCUUUCGGCUUUUAGGACCUUUAGGGGCUUUAUGGAUUUUAGGCUUCCGGGUACAGGCAUCGGGCUUCGGGCCUUGGGGCAAUUUAAAGACCAGUGUCGGACCUUAGGGGGCUUUCGGGGCUAAAGGAUUUCGGCCUUGGGGCUGUAUGGUUUUAGGGUUUAGGGCUUUAAACUUCGGGCUUUAGACAUUGGGCUUGAGGUUUCGGGUUUAGUUGCCCACUCAAAGCAAAUCUUUGUAAUAUCUCUAACCAUUUCAUGUACAAAACGGAAUUGAUCAUGUGACAUGCACCCCACCACCUCAAGAUCAACUUAGAUUCGCCAUGCAAUAAAUAUAUAAAAAGACUACGCCACGUAUCAUUAAUAUAUUCAUUCAUUCAUGUUAAAAAAUUGCACCAAGCUUUUUCUUUCUCCCCAUGGCCAUGAGAAAGGAAUCAAGCUCCCCAAAGCAAAAGCAAAGCUUGAAGAUAAAGAGCAAAGAGAGAGAUAUAAAAACGCCAAAAAUAUUAUAAAAAAAGCAUCUUUAACAUCAAAGCUCUCUUUACCUUUCAUCAUAGCAAACCCCCCCUAAAGCAAUUAAAUACUCAGAUGCUUCUCCUCUUUUGCUUAGUUCACUCUUUCACCUACACAACUCAAAUUAAACUAAGCUAUGGCUCGGAUAGAAGCUGUGAUCAUUUGCCUAUUGAUUGUGAUCAUGGAGUUUACUAAGAACUUAAUGGUGUUGUGAUUGAAAUAUAUAUAUUUGUAGGGGAGGCACUUAAGGGUGUUCUUCAUUGAGUGCACUUUAUAGGGGAAAUUACUUACUAAGCCCAAGUCACACCCAAUUAUGUGGACUUUACACAGUCCUAGCUCAUGCUUGGGGCCUUUUAAAGGCCUUUCGGGCUUUGCAGACUUUAGGGCCUUCAGGGGCUUACUUUUGUGAGUUUUAUUUGGUGUAAGGCCUUGGGCUUGGGGCCUUGGGGCCUUUUAAAGGACUUUCAGGCUUCGGGCUUUUAGGACAUUCAGGGGCUUUACGAUUUCGGGCUUCAGGGUAUGGGCCGCGACAGUGUGUGAAAGCCU